CCUACGGGGGACUGCAGUGGGGCAUAUUGCACAAUGGGGGAAACCCUGAUGCAGCGACGCCGCGUGAGUGAAGAAGUAUUUCGGUACGUAAAGCUCUAUCAGCAGGGAAGAAAAUGACGGUACCUGACUAAGAAGCCCCGACUAACUACGUGCCAGCAGCCGCGGUAAUACGUAGGGGGCAAGCGUUAUCCGGAUUUACUGGGUGUAAAGGGAGCGUAGACGGCAGCGCAAGUCUGGAGUGAAAUCCCAUGGCUUAACCAUGGAACUGCUUGGGAAACGGUGCAGCUAGAGUGCAGGAGAGGUAAGCGGAAUUCCUAGUGUAGCGGUGAAAUGCGUAGAUAUUAGGAGGAACACCAGUGGCGAAGGCGGCUUACUGGACUGUAACUGACGUUGAGGCUCGAAAGCGUGGGGAGCAAACAGGAUUAGAUACCCUAGUAGUC
rnacentral:rRNA from 1 species